CUCCAGUACUUUAGCACUUUUACCGCCAGUUACAAUUUCUUUAUUUGGGCUAUUUUAUGUCCUAUUUCAGAAUUAGACUAACUACGCAUUUUGAUCAUUUAUUGAAGUCUCUUAAUUAAAAAAUAGUUUCCUGCUGUUAAUCAAAUCUCAUUUGGAUGGUAAUAUAUCCACAGAAAACGUCCUUUAAUUUACCACGCAAGAAUUAAAAUCCUGCCACCUAAACAAAAGCUGUGGAUGGCAAACUGCCCCCCUCCCCCUCGGCUCUCUCCCUCUGCCUCAUGUGCUCUGUGUCUGUCUACUCUGCAGAGUACAUCCAACUCGCCCCGAAUACAUGCUCACUGUCUAACGCCGUGACCUAACCAAACGUAACCCUAAGAGUUCUCUUUGAAUACAACGCUUUAUCUCAGUCCGGAAGCGAUAGAAAACGUGUGACUACGUCGCUAAUGUAAAUGGCUAGCACAUUAAUAAUAGUGCGUUAUCUUUGUGCGCGUCUCUCACUGGACGCCUUCACGUCAGGUGGUGCUGUACAAGUAAUGAAGAGGUGAAUCCCCAGUCUACAGUUUAGGGACCUACUUGAGCACCGGCGUCCAAGCGAGUCAGCGUGGGUUCUCCGUGGCGUUUUGAGUGUCAGUAACUUCUGCGUCGUAAACUGACAUCAUCUCAUCAUGCCUGGCAAGAAAUGAAUCCUGAUUCAGCGCUCGACUCACAUAGAAACGCGCGCGGAGAGAACUUUGCUUGCAACUCUUGUGUGGUGGAUACGGCACGCGCCACGGCAGCGCGCGGAGGAUCAACAACUUUCCUCAGAAACAGCGCUAGCGUCCUUCCCAUGUCGCUUCAAACCCUUCCAUGUCACCAAUUAUUGUUGCUUUAAUUGGACGAGAAUGUUUCAGAAACCAUAUCUGGUCAAACACGGGGUAUACAUCGUUGGUAAGCCUUGAGAAGCGGAUAAUAAAUGACUUUUAUGCGCCUCAGACUCGCGUCCUCGCCAGGUGGACUGUGAAGAGACCGAAGAGGAAUGUUUAUCCGAAAUUUAUUGCCGCUCAGUUUGGGUUUUUUGCCGUUUUUGUUAAGUCACUGUUUUCUCUCACUGUUUCUUCCGUUAUUUCAGUUUGCGAGAGGGGAACUCCAGAAAUCAUGCUCCCGGACCACAGUGGCACCGCUGGAAGGGAGCUGCCAGUUGCCAUGCCAGUGUAGGCCCUACCCACCGUUACCCCCUCCCCCCCCUCCUCCACCACCCCCGAG
ensembl:lncRNA